CUGCCUUGCCAUUGAGCCUGCGGGCAAGACGGGGCCGGGUGGGGUCUCAUGCCCGCCCUGUGCAGUGCAGACCGCCCCCCCAGUGGAUCAGGAGGGGGUCCUUCCCUGCACCCCAAACCCCUAACUCGGAGGGGGCGAGGGGGCUGGCCGUGCCUACCUCCCUCACGCACGGAGCCCCAGCCCGUGAUGACACAGCGUGCGCCGUCGGGAGGCCGAGGCCCUGGUUCGGGCAGACAGAUGGGCCGCACGAGGCGGCUGCGGAGCACAGGUCCCGCCAGCUCGAGCAGCGCCACGUCGUAGUCAAGGGUGUAGACAUUGUAGAAGGGGUGCUUGUGGAUGCGCACCACACGCUCCAGCUGCCCGUCUGCGCCGCUCAGGAACGGAGUACCCAGGAAGGCUGCCCACUGCUUGGGGUCCCCAUAGCUGUGGGACAUAGGAGACAGGCAUCUGCCCAGAUCCCUGGCCCCCCUGCACCCUGCCCAGCAGAGCUGUGUCAGCGGCCAGCCGAUGACCUUGCACUGGGCAAUUGGCCUCUUUCCAUCACUGCUUCCCUUUUUCUUAGAACAGUGGGGAGGACAAGGAGGGGCACACCCAGAUGUGCCCAGCCAGCCACCAUGCACUGUGGGAACACUACAGUCUGUGUCCAUUCCUACUUAACAGUAGGGCUCUGGUGGCCAGAGGACCCCAUUCACCCUUCCCACCUGUUCUGGCCUGUUCCUCCCACUGUGUUCCCUCCACCAGUGGGGCUCUGGCCUUCAAGGCAGAGACAAUUAUCAGGGUAGGUGGGCUGGGGAUGGCAGUACCCUCGGUCCCAGAGUCUCUGGCAGGCCUGGCCCAGGGCCCCUAGGUUGGAUGCCCGCAUGACCAGACUCGGGUGGUGGGUGGGCAGGGGGUGUUGCAGGGAGGAGGGGAUGGCCUGGGGCAGCAGGUGCUGGUAUGGGAGAGGUGCAGAGGUGCCCCCACUGAGUUUCUGAGCGCAACUCACACAUCGAAGCAGUGCGCAGCUGACAGCAGCCACCUCUCAGCCACCAGCACGGCUCCACAGCGGUGUUCCCGCCGCCGCAGCCACAGGCUCACCUGCCACGGCCACUCCCCUCGGCCAGCGGCACUGCCACCCACAAUCCUGGUCAGUGCUGCGGCUGGUGCCAGGCCGCAGUCUGUGGGAGAGGCGAGUACCAGGUCAGGUCGGAGGGCAGAUGGACCAUGUAUCUUCUGCACAAACCCUGCGUGGGGGCACCCUGGAGGAGCAGGGAGUGGAGUGGGGGACCCACCUUGGAAAAACACCUCAGGAAGGGACACAGGGCCUGGUCCUACAAACUUCCUUUGGGCUUUUCUCAAUACUCAAAAUGUGUUUAAGCUGGUUUCUAGUGCCCUGAGCUUUGGGGCCACACCUCCCGAGCCGGAGGCCAGACCAGCAUCCCCUGCUGCCCCCAAGCCUUUGCACACCCCAGCUGCUCUUCCUGGGUACCCUUUCUGGUGUUCUUUACCUGGUCCCUCUGUGACCCAGUGUCCUUGCCAGGAUACUCCCUCCAGGCUGUGACCUCCCCUCCCCCCAACACAUGUUGCUUAAGCCCCCCAGACUGUGGGAUGCUGCAGCGGCAGACCUUGCAGGUGAACACAGGACCUGUCCCCCCACCUCCCACAUGUCACUCCAUUUCUCCAGUUACCUGGCAGCUGGAUGCCCAUGGUGGGCUUUGGGACAUGUGGAAGUGGUGUCUCUCCCCUAGCAGUGGUGGUCAUGGCUGUGGCAGUCCUGUUGGCAGGUUGGCUGGUCACCCUGCUGGUGGCCAGAGGUGUGGGUCUACUGGCUGUGAUCCCUGGGACUGUGGGGCCAGCUGUUGUUCUGGUGGCAAGACUGCUGGCGAGUGUCCGAGUGGUGGCGAGUGGUGGCGUGGGGUGGGAGGACAUAGUGUCCACGAUCCAGCCCUUCAGCCUGGUGAUUCGAGUGUACACGCCUGGCUUCUUGGCUUGAGCGCAGCCGAUGCCCCAGCUCACAAUCCCCGCCAAAUAGAACACGCCGGGGGUCUCUUCACAGGCCAGGGGGCCCCCAGAGUCACCCUGAGAAGGAGGGACAGAGGGCACUGCUAGGCCCUCCUCUGCUCCCACCAGUGGGAGAGACCCCUCAGAGGAGCCUGGCUGGGGAACUUUGUGUGACCUUGCGUAAGUCACUCCUCUUAGGUGUGUAUUGGAAAUAAAACAAAAACCCAGAAAGCCCUAAAGAAAAAAAUUACCUUCAUGGAUAGUCCAGGCUUUUCUGUGCAGAAGAAUUCCUUUUUGUUUUUUUCUUUUCUUUUUUUUUUUUUUUUUUUAGGGCUGCACCCAUGGUAUUCGGAGGUUCCCAGGCUAGGGGUCCAAUCGGAGCUGUUGCAGCUGGCCUAUGCCACAGCCAUAGCAACGCCAGGUCCUACCUGCGUCUGCGACCCACACCACAGCUCACAUCAACAGAGGAUCUUCAACCCACUGAGUGAGGGCAGGGAUCGAACCUGCAACCUCAUCGUUCCUAGUCAGAUUUGUUAACCAUUGUGCCACGAUGGGAACUCCAUGUACAGCGGAAUUUCUUUACUAUUUUUUAGAGUAUUACCAUAAAACUGCUGUGACUUUGAACAAUGAGGCCUUGAUGCUCCUUCUGUUGAGUGGUGGGGGUCUGUCCCUCCCCUUGAACCCAGGCAGACCUCUGUGACUUCCUUCACCCUCAGACUUUGGGGGCAGUGAUUCCAGGCAACUUCCAGAGUCAGGUCUUAAAAGUGCCACCUGCUUCCCUCUUGCUUUCUUGGGGUGCACUUGUUCUUGGGUGUAGGCUGCCAUGUUGUCAGGAAGCUCAAGAGCCCUGGUGGAGGCCACUCAGGGGAGCCACCAUGUGGGGUAUAGGUGAGAUCCCAGUUGGCAUCUGGCUUCAGACUUGCGACUAGAAAUGCCUCCAGAUUGUCUCAGCCACCAGCCACCAGCCACGAGUAGCUUCAGCCUCUGGACCUGCCCAGCCAAGGCCUUAAAUGUCAGGUGGCUCAGAGGGGCCAGCCCUGCUGCGUCCUGUCUGAAUUCCCAGCCCAUGAACUCUGCGACCUCAUGAAAUGGCUGUUGUUCACCAAGCUUUGGGAGUUAGUUUGUUACAAGGCUGUAGGGACUGAAACAGCCCUGCUGCUAAUCCCAAAGCCUCACUUUGCUUUACAUGUAUCUGUAGAAAAUUUGUAGUGUUGGAGUUCCCAUUGUGGUUCAGAGGUAACAAACUCAAUGUGUAGCCAUGAGGACGCAAGUUCAGUCCCUGGCCUUGCUCACUGAGUUAAGAAUCUGGCGUUGCUGUGGCUCUGGUGUAGGCUGGUAGCUGUAGCUCCAAUUCAACCCCUAGCCUGGGAACUUCCAUAGGCCACAGGUAUGCUCCUAAAAAAAGCAAAAAAAAAAGGGGGGGGGAUAUUUGUUUUUACCAUUAUAUAAUAAGCAUGUCACAUGUGAGAUCUUACAGUUUGCAGCAUUCAUCCAGCAGUUAUCUUCAAGGUAACCUUGAUAGAUUGCUGUGAAUCCCAUUUAACACAAGAAUCUGAGGCCCAGAGAGGUUGAGCAACUUGCCUGGGGUCACACAGCUAUUAAGAAAUUGAGCCAGGAUUUGAUGAGUCCAGGAUUCUGGUUUCAGAAGCUCUAGUGGUUAGGUUCCCAUAAGAGAUAUUUACCAGUCUUUAAACCACUGCCUAUGAAUGGACAUGUAUGUUGUAAUCAAUAUUGGACAUGUAUGUUGUAAUCAAUAUUAGCAACAGUGAUACUUUGAGCGUUACCAUUGAAGUCUGAUGCCAUUUGGAGUUUCAAUCCUUUUUGUCCUCCUGCCCCACUAUGGAAACGGCCAGCAUCACGUCUUCAUCUAUAGGCAGAAGUUUCGGGUGAUGUCUUGUUUCUGUCAAGCACUCAAAGGGCCUCUUCCCUCUGGCAGGUCCUCUUAUCUCUGAUAAUCUCAGCUCUGCCUUCCUCCUUCUGUAGUCCUUUCUCAUUUCUUAGUUUUCUUCUGCUUUCUGAGAAAUUUUACCUUCAUCUCUCUUUUUAAGGGCUUUUUCCCCACAGAAAUGGUUUCUAAGCCACUGAAAAACCCCUUCCAGCACCCUGUUCUUUCUUCGCAGAGGCAGUGUCUUUUCUCACCUCUCUGAUGUUAAUCAUUAUACUCUCAGACCAUUUCCAGAGGUCUCUGCUCAACAGUUCAUGUUUGUUUGGAUGCUCCCCCAUCAAGCAGCAGAGGCCAUGUUUCCCACCUGUGGAUGUGGGUGGGCUGAGGUGCCUGGAUGUAACUCCCCAGGCAGUGUCAUGAACAUGGUACGGCUUCAGCCAGUUGGCUCGGGAUCCACAUGCUUGGUGCCACCGCCAUGCUGUGAGGAAGCCCAAGCAGCCAGUAGGAGACCUAAGGCCUGGAGUCUACAGCCUACAGCCCUGACGGGCUGAACUCCCAGCUUGGUGAAUGCACCAUUGUGAAAGUGGAUUCUCCAGCCCCACCAAGCAUUUCCCAAGUGCAGGUUCAUGAACCAAAUAAACAACUGUUGUUUUAAGCCACUAA